rnacentral:tRNA from 1 species
GCCGGGGUGGCGGAAUGGCAGACGCAGGCGACUUAAAAUCGCCCGUGGAAACACGUGUGGGUUCGAGUCCCGCCCCCGGCACCA